UGUGGGUAGUGUAGUACUUCUCAAUGAUAACGCAAAUAUAACCUUUUUUUCCUCAAAACAAGGUUGAUAUCAUACAGACUUAUGGCUUAUACAGGUGCAUAUACCGUCGUUUCACAACCUCGCAGCUCGUGCAGUUCAAGCUCACCAAGAGAUGACGAACCAUAAUAGGAAAAAACUAUUACUAACAUGGAGGGCCAUGGAGGAGGACCUCUCCGCAUUAUAUCUAGCAGGCUGAAUAUCUGGACAAGUAGGGGAACCAGCAGGGAACCAUCUCCUGUGUGAGCUGUGAUGUGACAGGCAGUGAGUGCGUCAACUUGAAACCCGGGGGAGGAACUGUAGCACAACAACACAACAACA